rnacentral:rRNA from 1 species
CAGCGGCAGACGGGUGAGUAACACGUAGGUUAUCUAGCCCAGAGACGGGGAUAACGGGUGGAAACAUUCGCUAAUACCGGAUAGGCUUGUUCGGUCACAGGGACAAUUGAAAGGCUCCGGCGCUCUGUGGAGGAGCCUGCGGCCCAUCAGUUAGUUGGCGGGGUAACGGUCCACCAAGGCAAAGACGGGUAGGGGGUGUGAGAGCAUGGCCCCCCACAAUGGGACUGGAACACGGUCCAUACUCCUACGGGAGGCAGCAGCAGGGAAUAUUGCACAAUGGACGGAAGUCUGAUGCAGCGACGCCGCGUGGAUGAAGAAGGCCCUCGGGUUGUAAAAUCCUUUACAGGGGGAAGAGGAAGGACGGUACCCCUGGAACAAGUGUCGGCUAACUACGUGCCAGCAGCCGCGGUAAGACGUAGGACACAAGCGUUAUCCGGAUUUACUGGGCGUAAAGCGUCUGCAGGCGGACAGGUAAGUCGGGCGUGAAAGCUCCGGGCCCAACCCGGAGAGGUCGUUCAAUACUGCGUGUCUAGAGGGUGUCAGAGGGGAGUGGAAUUUCCGGAGUAGCGGUACGAUGCGCAGAGAUCGGAAAGAACACCAAUGGCGAAGGCAGCUCCCUGGGGCAACCCUGACGCUAAGAGACGAAAGCUAGGGGA